rnacentral:lncRNA from 1 species
GCAAAAAGUUGAAUGAGCAAAGUGUUUUUCUCAUUACCCGAAUAAGUGCAUGGUUACAUACAUAAAUAGAACAAAAACUACAUAGAAAGAAAACAAAGCUUGCUUGUGCAAGUAACUAAAGGUUUACAUCAACAAAAUGACAACCUAAUUUGACUACUAAAUCAGCUAAGCACACAUUUUAACCUUAGCUGAUCAAAGCAAAUAAUGAUUACACCAUAGACUAACAAAAGUCAACUAAACAAACAAGGCUUGUCGAAUUGCACAAUGGAUUUUAACAUGCUUCAGCCGAGUUUCUGGUUUCAUGCAUGCAACGUAGGUUUUGCAUGGAUUCUUAAACUUUGCUGCUGUCGUUACCAUCUUUUAAACACUCCUCCUUGGCUACAAAGCAGCAAACUCCGAUUUUCUUCUUCAAAUAUUCAAACCUUGAAGCAGCCAAUGGUUUGGUUAAUAGAUCAGCAAGUUGAUCUCUUGAGCAGCAGUGAACUAAGCUUAUCUCCUUGGACAUUUCAGCUUCUCUCACAAAAUGAUAUCUAAUUUUAAAAUGCUUGGUCUUACCAUGAAAAACUGGAUUUUUGGCAAUGGCUACAGCCGAUUGGUUGUCAACCUUAAUCACAGUGGCCUCCUUUGGAUCAGCAUUCAGAUCACACAAUAUUUUCCUAAGCCAAAUGGCUUGAUUUACAGCAGAAGCAGCUGCGAUGUAUUCUGCCUCAGUAGUGGAUUGAGCCACUGUCUGUUGCUUCUUCGAGCUCCAGCAGAAGACACUUGAGCCAAGGGUGAAGAAGUAGCCUGAUGUGCUCUUCAUGUCAUCAGCAGAACCAGCCCAAUCACUGUCUGAAUAUCCCACUAGUCUCAGCUCCUCAGCCCUUUCAAACUUCACUCCACAACUCAGAGUCCCUUUGACAUACCUUAGGACCCUUUUUGCUGCUUUAAAAUGUGCAACUGUGCAGCAAUGCAUGAAUUUCGAUAGAAGACCAACAGCAUGCAUGAUGUCUGGUCUAGUUGCAGUCAAAUAGAGCAGACAGCCAACCAAGCUUCUAUAAUUCUUUUCAUCCACUCGAUCUUCAUCUCUUAGGCUGGUGAGUUUUUCUCCUAAAGCCACAGGAGUGCUAGCAGGCUUGCAGUUUGUCAUGCAAAACCUGCUCAAAACCUUCGAUGCGAAUGCCUUCUGGCCUAUGAAAAUACCUUGUUCAUUUUGUUUUACUUCCAUGCCAAGGAAGUAUGUCAUUAAUCCAAGGUCAGUCAUCUCAAACACAGUUUGCAUUUGCUUCUUAAAGGUUUCAAUUUCCUCCUUUUUGCAGCCAGUGACCAGUAAAUCAUCAACAUACAAUGAAACAAUUAGCAAAGUUUCAUUACCUUCCUUCUUAACAUAGAGAGUAGGCUCACUGGUGUUCUUUGUGAACCCGAGCCUUGUCAGGUAGGUAUCCAUUCGAUCGUACCAGGCCCUUGGAGCUUGCUUGAGACCAUACAGGGCCUUUUUGAGCUUGUAGACCUUCUCUUAUUCUCCUUGAACUUCAAAGCCUUCAGGUUGAUCUAUGAAGAUUUCCUCCAUGAGAAAUCCAUUUAAAAAGGCUGAUUUGACAUCCAGUUGAUGCACCUGCCACUGUUUCUGGGCUGCUAAGGCAAACAAAAUUCUUAUAGUGUCCAGCCUUGCAAUAGGAGCAAAGGUUUCAAAGAAAUCGACUCCCUGCUGUUGGCUAUACCCUUUCACAACUAAUCUAGCUUUGUGUCUGUUCAGUGAUCCAUCUGCAUUAUUUUUGAUCCUGAACACCCAUUUAACUCCAAUGAUCUUCCUACCUUCUGGUCUAUCAACCAGCUUCCAGGUUUCAUUCUUUUGGAUUAUCCUUAGUUCAGCUUCCAUAGCCUCUUGCCAGCAUUUCUCUUUCGAGGCUUCAGCAUAACAGGAUGGCUCAACCAUGGUCACAGCACAUCUUUCAUAGAUGUCUGCCAAUGUUCUGGUGCCCCUAACAGGCAUAUCAUCAAAAUCAUCCAUAGCUUCAUUUUCAACUUCAGCAUGUUGGUGAUCAAGGUCCUGCAAGUCUUCUUCAGCUAAGCUUGCAUCUGUCCCAUUCCACUUCCAACAGCUUCCUUCAUUGAACUUGACAUCUCUGCUUACAAUAACCUUUUUUGUUGAUGGAUCAAAGAUCCUAUAACCCUUCUUCACACUGCUGUAGCCUACAAAUACCCCUGGCACAGACUUUCUUUCCAGCUUGGUUCUCUUCUCUGCUGGCACAAGUUCAUAGCAUAAGCAUCCAAACACUUUCAAGUGUGACACGAUUGGUUUCUGCCCGAACCAGACCUCAAAGGGUGUUUUACCUUUGACUGCUUUAGUUGGUAGUCUAUUUAGUAAGUAGACAGAUAUGUUUACUGCCUCAGCCCAGAAGUUGUUUGGCAUUUUGGCCUCAAACAGUAGGCAUCUGGCCAUAUCAAGAACAGUCCUGUUUCUCCUCUCACAAACACCAUUUUGCUGUGGUAUGUAGACAGUGGUCAGUUGGUGUAGGAUGCCAGCAUCAUCACAAAUCUUCUGGAACCUCUGAGACACAUACUCAGCUCCAUUGUCUGACCUUAGGCUCUUGAGUUUGCUGUUGGCUUGGUUUUCAGCCAAAGCCUUGAACUUGCAAAAGAAGUCAAUGACAUCUGACUUUUGUUUCAAGAAGGUUACCUAACAAAACCUGGUGCAGUCAUCAAUGAACAAGGCAAAAUACUUGCAGCCAUUUAGUGAGCUGGUCUUCAUAGGUCCACAGAUGUCAGUGUGAACCAACUGAAGUUUCUCUUGGGCUCUCCAUGCCUUGUUGACUGGAAAGGGCAGUCUGGUUUGCUUGCCAAGCUGACAGACUUCACACACCUCUUUGUUUGGCUCGAACUUAGCCAUAUCUUUAACCAAAUUUAGUUUUUGCAUUUGCCCGAGUGAGUUGUAGUUCACAUGCCCCAUUCUUUUGUGCCACAAACUUGCCUCAUCAGUCUGAGCUGCAUAUGCUCUUGCUUGCAACUGAUUUACAUCCACAUUGAAGGUUCUAUCUUGCAUAGCUACUUUUGCCAACACCUGGUCAGUAGCAUCUUUGAUUGUGCAGAUUUUGCCUUCAAACAGGAGAGAGUACCCUUUCUCCAGUAGCUGACCAACACUUAACAAAUUUUGGUCAAUGUCAGGUACAUAAAGAACUUCUGAAAUGGUUUUAAUACCUGACUUGGUGCAAAUCACUGCUUUGCCUUUUCCUUUAGCCUUGAGAAGCUUACCAUUUCCAAUUCUGACAUUGGACUCAAAUGAGGUGUCAAGCUCCUUAAACAUGCUUUCCUCUGAGGCCAUAUGAUGAGUGCAUCCACUAUCGAUCAGCCAAAUUUUGCUGACUUUGCUCGAGCCUGCAAAGCAGGAGGCUGUGAAGACAUGUUCUUCCUGUGCCUCGAUGUCUUCAGCUACUUGAGCCUGAUUAUGAUUCUGUGACUGAGCUUUUGGUUUGUUCUUACACACUUUUUCAAUGUGACCAAGUUGUUUGCAGCCUUUACACUGAAUGUCAGGCCUGUACCAGCAAUAUUUCUCAAGGUGAGUUGUUCUUUUGCAAUGAACACAGGGUGGAAACUUCUUCUUGGCAGCUUCCUUCUUUCCUCUUUCUUUCUUUUCUGACCAAGGCUUCUUGCCUUUAUGAUUCGAGCUGAAGCUUGAGCUCUCUCUACUCCUAGCUUGAAAAUCUCCCUCAGAAUACUCCUCCAUUCUGUUUGCUCUUCUUUGCUCUUGAGCAUAGAGAGCAUUUAUCAGUUCUGUCAAGGGAAUGGCAGAUAAGUCCCUCGAAUCCUCCAGGGAAAAAAUCUUGGAUUCAUACUUCUCUGGCAAGGUUGUUAUGACUUUCUCCACUACCCUCUGAUCACUAAAGUCAUCUCCAAGCAGUCUUAUGUUGUUGACAGUAGACAUAAUUCUGUCAGCAUACUGCUUGAUGGUUUCUGAGUCUUUCAUUCUCAGAUUCUCAAAGUCCCUUCUCAAGUUGAUGAGUUGUUGCUGACUGGUUUUGUCUGAGCCUUGAAACUCUUCCUUGAGUUUGUCCCAGGCCUCCUUUGGUGUGUCGCAGGCCAUUAUCCUUGUGAAGAUAGAAUCUGAAACUCCACUUUGAAGGCAUGACAUGGCCUUGUACUUCUUUGCACAGUCUUCAUUAUACUGCCUUAUCUGAGCUAUCGUGGGAUUAGCUCUUAAGGGUGGUGGUUCUGUGUCAUUUUGGACAACAUUCCACAGGUCAUGUGCUUGUAGAUAUGUUUUCAUUUUGACAGCCCAUAUAUUGUAGCUUUCACCAGCAAACACGGGUGGAGGUGGUGGUGAGAAGCUCAUCUUCGCGCAGCUUCCAAAACUCUGAGCAACAAAGAUAGUUCUUGCUUCUUUUCUUUCAAACACACAGCACACAACAAGAGGCCCUCAAAGACAACAGGCUCUCGAUACCAUUUGUUGGUUUCUAACUUAGCAAACAAAGUUUAAAAACAACUUAGAUGAAUGUUUUAGAUGUUUGAAAGAUUAAAACAGGAGCAAGAACAAGCAAAAAGUUGAAUGAGCAAAGUGUUUUUCUCAUUACCCGAAUAAGUGCAUGGUUACAUACAUAAAUAGAACAAAAACUACAUAGAAAGAAAACAAAGCUUGCUUGUGCAAGUAACUAAAGGUUUACAUCAACAAAAUGACAACCUAAUUUGACUACUAAAUUAGCUAAGCACACAUUUUAACCUUAGCUGAUCAAAGCAAAUAAUGAUUACACCAUAGACUAACAAAAGUCAACUAAACAAACAAGGCUUGUCGAAUUGCACAAUGGAUUUUAACAUGCUUCAGCCGAGUUUCUGGUUUCAUGCAUGCAACGUAGGUUUUGCAUGGAUUCUUAAACUUUGCUGCUGUCGUUGCCACCUUUUAAAC